ACUUAAAUUGAAGAGUUUGAUCAUGGCUCAGAUUGAACGCUGGCGGCAGGCCUAACACAUGCAAGUCGAGCGGUAGCACAGAGAGCUUGCUCUCGGGUGACGAGCGGCGGACGGGUGAGUAAUGUCUGGGAAACUGCCUGAUGGAGGGGGAUAACUACUGGAAACGGUAGCUAAUACCGCAUAACGUCGCAAGACCAAAGUGGGGGACCUUCGGGCCUCAUGCCAUCAGAUGUGCCCAGAUGGGAUUAGCUAGUAGGUGGGGUAACGGCUCACCUAGGCGACGAUCCCUAGCUGGUCUGAGAGGAUGACCAGCCACACUGGAACUGAGACACGGUCCAGACUCCUACGGGAGGCAGCAGUGGGGAAUAUUGCACAAUGGGCGCAAGCCUGAUGCAGCCAUGCCGCGUGUGUGAAGAAGGCCUUCGGGUUGUAAAGCACUUUCAGCGGGGAGGAAGGCGAUAAGGUUAAUAACCUUGUCGAUUGACGUUACCCGCAGAAGAAGCACCGGCUAACUCCGUGCCAGCAGCCGCGGUAAUACGGAGGGUGCAAGCGUUAAUCGGAAUUACUGGGCGUAAAGCGCACGCAGGCGGUCUGUCAAGUCGGAUGUGAAAUCCCCGGGCUCAACCUGGGAACUGCAUUCGAAACUGGCAGGCUAGAGUCUUGUAGAGGGGGGUAGAAUUCCAGGUGUAGCGGUGAAAUGCGUAGAGAUCUGGAGGAAUACCGGUGGCGAAGGCGGCCCCCUGGACAAAGACUGACGCUCAGGUGCGAAAGCGUGGGGAGCAAACAGGAUUAGAUACCCUGGUAGUCCACGCCGUAAACGAUGUCGAUUUGGAGGUUGUGCCCUUGAGGCGUGGCUUCCGGAGCUAACGCGUUAAAUCGACCGCCUGGGGAGUACGGCCGCAAGGUUAAAACUCAAAUGAAUUGACGGGGGCCCGCACAAGCGGUGGAGCAUGUGGUUUAAUUCGAUGCAACGCGAAGAACCUUACCUGGUCUUGACAUCCACAGAACUUAGCAGAGAUGCUUUGGUGCCUUCGGGAACUGUGAGACAGGUGCUGCAUGGCUGUCGUCAGCUCGUGUUGUGAAAUGUUGGGUUAAGUCCCGCAACGAGCGCAACCCUUAUCCUUUGUUGCCAGCGGUUCGGCCGGGAACUCAAAGGAGACUGCCAGUGAUAAACUGGAGGAAGGUGGGGAUGACGUCAAGUCAUCAUGGCCCUUACGACCAGGGCUACACACGUGCUACAAUGGCAUAUACAAAGAGAAGCGACCUCGCGAGAGCAAGCGGACCUCAUAAAGUAUGUCGUAGUCCGGAUUGGAGUCUGCAACUCGACUCCAUGAAGUCGGAAUCGCUAGUAAUCGUAGAUCAGAAUGCUACGGUGAAUACGUUCCCGGGCCUUGUACACACCGCCCGUCACACCAUGGGAGUGGGUUGCAAAAGAAGUGGGUAGCUUAACCUUCGGGAGGGCGCUUACCACUUUGUGAUUCAUGACUGGGGUGAAGUCGUAACAAGGUAACCGUAGGGGAACCUGCGGUUGGAUCACCUCCUUACCUUAAAGAA
rnacentral:rRNA from 1 species